rnacentral:rRNA from 1 species
UGGGGGAUAACUAUCCGAAAGGAUAGCUAAUACCGCAUACGACCCGAGGGUGGAAAGACGGGGGGACCGAAAGGCCUCGCGCGAUUGGAGCGGCCGAUAUCGGAUUAGCUAGUUGGUGAGGUAAAGGCUCACCAAGGCGACGAUCCGUAGCUGGUCUGAGAGGACGACCAGCCACACUGGAACUGAGACACGGUCCAGACUCCUACGGGAGGCAGCAGUGGGGAAUUUUGGACAAUGGGGGCAACCCUGAUCCAGCCACUUCCGCGUGAGUGAAGAAGGCCUUCGGGUUGUAAAGCUCUUUCAGCAGGAACGAAACGGUGGUCCCUAAUACGGGCUACUAAUGACGGUACCUGAAGAAGAAGCACCGGCUAACUACGUGCCAGCAGCCGCGGUAAUACGUAGGGUGCGAGCGUUAAUCGGAAUUACUGGGCGUAAAGCGUGCGCAGGCGGUUAUAUAAGACAGAUGUGAAAUCCCCGGGCUUAACCUGGGAACUGCGUUUGUGACUGUAUAACUCGAGUGUGGCAGAGGGGGGC